GUACGUACAAGCAGUGGGAGCCCCACCACUAAGCCAGUGGUGAACUCCACAUCCGCAUCCUUUGCUGAGGAUACGGUUAACGGAGCGAAAGCGACGUUCAACCGCAAAACAAGCAGAGGGGGCUUAGUGGUGGGGUGACUGCGUACCUUUUGUAUAAUGGGUCAGCGACUUAUAUUCUGUAGCAAGGUUAACCGUAUAGGGGAGCCGGAGGGAAACCGAGUCUUAAUUGGGCGUUAAGUUGCAGGGUAUAGACCCGAAACCCGGUGAUCUAGCCAUGGGCAGGUUGAAGGUUGGGUAACACUAACUGGAGGACCGAACCGACUAAUGUUGAAAAAUUAGCGGAUGACCUGUGGCUGG
rnacentral:rRNA from 1 species